rnacentral:lncRNA from 1 species
CGGGACGACGAUCCAGAGGCCGAGCUUGUCGCCGAAGGCGUGCUGCCCCAGCUCGUGGUACCGAUCGAACCGCUUCCCCGGCACCAUCUCGUGCAUCUCCACCAUCUGCCACAGAGUAUACAGGGUGAUGACCCACGACAGAAGCAGCACGGCGAUGCCAGGUCCCCUGCUCGGAGCAACACAUGGAACCAAGUCAAAUCUCAGUUCAUGUAAUCUUUGUUUCUCUCAGAAAUAGAAGAAUUGACGAUGAGAUCAAUGACAAAUCAAACAAUGUAUAGGCCAAACCAGUAGUGAAAAAGAGAUCAAUGACGAGCACAUACCAUCCAAGUUCCGACAUGGCAUAGGGCAGGCUGAGGACGCCAGCUCCCACCAUGGCCGUGACAUUGUGGAAGGCGGAGUACCACCACUUGGCGUUCCUCGACGAUGUGAUGGGCAACCAGUCAUCGAUCGACUUCUCCAACUCCGACUGCACACCAUUGUCAACCGAAUAAACCAUGAGACCAGUCCGACUUCCACAAGAGAAAGCUAUCAGAAAUGUAACGAGGUACAUAAGGACUGUGAUCUCCUAGAAAUAAUACCCUUAUCACUAUCCAAAUUCUUGAGAUAUUUUGGAUAAAAAGAAUAAGUCAAAGAUGAAGCGUAGAGGUCGACUUGGAUACGGAGUCGUCGUUGACCCAAGUGCAGGCUGGUAAGGAGAUCCAAGAUGUUUUAACUUUUAUGUUGGAGAUAAGUGAGGUUAGAUUAACAUUGAUGAUCAUUUUCUAAGCUCAGUUGAAUGAUUUCCUUAUAGCAAUUAACAUAGGCCAUGAGAUCAUUUCUAAGAAGAAUUAGGCUCAUCAGCUUUGACAUUAAUACGAGAUUCUUGGGCAAAAGGUCUUGAAGCUGUCGCAUUAAUGGUUCCAACUCUCAGAUCAGACUGCAAUCACUUCAGUGUUGGAGUUUCAUGUGAAUUCUAGAAAGAAAAAACCAAGUCCUUUCUCAUAAAAUUCACUUUUCUCAAAAUACUACAACUGAGAUAAAUAACUUAAAAUUCAAUAAAAUAAACUUAUAGUGUUUUGAAAAAACAAUAUAUAUAUAAUUGAGAAAGAUUGAUCUCGUACUCCUGAGAAUAUAAAAGCUCCAGUUUCAUGAAGCUUCAAAUUCUUAUUUUCUUUCUCAGAUUUAAAUUUAAUUAAAGAUAACUCAGUUAUGUUGAAUCCGAACACACAGAGAGAGAGAGAAACAAAAUAAAAAUAGCAAUAGUAAUAGUAAUAAUUUAGAACAUAAAUAGUGAUUAAGCUGCAUGUUUGAGGUCCCAAAUACUUAUCUCGAUGCACUAACGUCUGAAGAGCGAGGAGGGCGAAGGGGAAAAGACAAGAGCAAGGAGCUCCCGCUGCAGACCUAAUCUGAUCCUACCGCUAAGAAAGACAUGGUGUUGUAUUCCUGUGAAGAGCCUAAAGAGGAGGAGGAGAGAGGGGGUAGCAGUAGGCAAUUCGACGUACCUUGUCCUGGUUUCUGACAUAGGCUUCCGGGAGAGAUGGAGCUUGAAUUCCCAUGAGGUGGCGAGUGUGUCGUAUGAACCCAAGCUUCCGGUGGUCUGCAACGCCUCAGGGAGAAAGAAGAGAAGCAAGAAGUGUCGAGUGGGUUGGGUGCGGGAACAGGGGAGAGAGAGGAUGCAGGAAUUAAUAGACUUGAAUGCGAAUUCGGAAGGAGGGGUGGAAAUUGCAUCUUCUGACUGAUGAUGGUUCCACCCGUUGACUCGUUGACUCGUUGACUCCACGACUCCGAUAACAAUAAUAAUAAUAAUAAUAAUAAUAAUAAAUAAUAAUAAUAAUUAUUAUUAUUAUAUGAUUGGAAGAAUAAGUUUAUCUGUUAUUAUUAUUGUAUUACUUUGUUAUUUUUUGAAAAAUUCUUAAUUCAUUUUAAAUGUUAUUAUUUUUAAAAUAUCUACAACUUAAUAAGUAGUUUUACACAAUCAUCGUUAUAUAUUUAUAAUAUUUGUUUGCUCACAUAUAUUUUUAUUAUUGAUAUUUUUAGAAAAUAGAUUUGAUAUGGAUCAUGUGAUGUGUCUAUGGCUCGACAUUGUUUCAUUAUCACUUUCAAAUAUUAUAUAUAAGAAACAAGGAGGAAAAACGGGGCUAAUAUUAAGAUACAUUAUUGUAAUUUGAUAUAUAUUUCUUCUCAACAUAAUAAAAAAAGAAAAAAACCUUAUCAUGCAUAUUUUUAGAUGACAUGUGGAUUAGAUGUAGGUCGACCCGAUAAGAACUUUGAUUUUUUAUAGUAAGAUUUUCGGAUCAAAUCCUGUUUUUAUCAUUUAUUUUUUAUAGAAAAACUAAAAACUUCUAUUAGAGUGAGAAAUAUUGUCAUUGUCAAAUAUUCACUUUAUUUUCAAGAAAUAAUAAUUAGCAUAAAAGCAGACAAUAUGUUAUACAUAUAUAUAUAUGUAUAUGUGUAUAUACAUAUACAUAUAUAUAUAUAUAUACAUAUAUAUAUAUAUAUAUGUAUACAUACAUAUAUAUAUAUAUAUAUAUAUAUAUGCUAUUGAUUUAAUUGAAAAUAUUAUUUUAUGAAGAAUUCAAUAGUGAAAAAAAGAUUCAUGUAAUAAAAGAUUGCUGUAUAACAUAUAUAACCCAAGAAAAACUUUGGUUAUGGGCUUCUGAUUAUGAUUAGCAUCAGCUAGUUUGGGUUUCAUAAAAUACAUAAAAAUUUAAGAGACAUGCAUUGUUUUUAAUAUAGAGUUUCCAACCAAUAAUUAAAUGAUAAUCACUUGGGAGGAUUGAUUACAACAAUAUAGGUAAAGUUUCUAAGGUUUUGAAGGAAAAUAUGGUGUAAAAUUUCAUUUGGGAAAAUAAAUAAGAAAACUAUUAUAUCUAUAUAUAUAUAUAUAUAUAUAUAUAUAUAUAUAUAUAUAUAUAUAUAUAUACAUGUAUAUAUAUACAUAUGUACAUAUACAUAUAUGUAUAUAUAUACAUGUAUACAUAUAUAUAUAUAUAUACAUAUAUACAUAUAUACAGCAAGACCAAAUGGGAGAAUUUCUUUAGAUAGAAGGAAGUCUAUAUCUCUCUCUAUCAUUCUCUCUCUAUCUAUCAAUAUCAAGAACCAAUUUCUUUGAAAAUUGCUCCCCUUAAAUGUGGAUAGAUUUGUCAUGUUGUAACAUUUACAAGAAAAGAAGUUAUGAACAUCUUGAAUUUUCUCCCAUCUAAUUAUGUCAUCUCUCUCAAUUUCUAAAACCUAAUUAUCUAUUUUUGAGAUAUAUAUAUAUAUAUAUAUAUAUAUAUAUAUAUAUAUAUCAAUUAAUUAAAAAAUAUCGGAUGACAUCUUAAAUUCUUAACAGAAAUUAGGUGAGUCAAGUAUUUUAGAUAUAAGAAUUUAACGAAUUUAGGUAUCUAAAUUAGAUAUAUAAUCACCAAACUAAUACUUUGCAUAUCAUAUGGUAUAAUUCUACCCUACCCUUUUGUUUAAUUCUUGGAGUUGAUAAUAAUUAACUUCAAAGGCAUAGGGGCAAACACAUAUGGAUAAUAUUUUUUAUAAUAAUAAAAAUGAUAAUAAUUAUUUUACCCUCAUCAAAAUUUCUAAAUAACUAUUGCACUAAUUUCAAAAAGAAAUUUUCUAAUGAUUAACUUUACAUUAAAAUGCACCAAAAAACUUAUCUUUUAAAAUAAUAUUAGUUUUGGAAAAGAAUAAUAUACUUGGCUGAACAAGAAAACCCAAGAAAAUGUGUUCCCGAAAAGUUCUACAAAAUCGAAAUAUCAUCAUCAGAUAUAGACAAGCACUGAAUUGUGACUUGACCAACGCAAAAAAGUAUGUUGGAAGUCAAAGUCAACCCGGAUUUGCUUCUUGUUCUUGGUUCAAUUAAGGAGUACCAUGCUUUGUCCUUCCCUCGGCCAGUAAACUUUGUCGAAUCCAGUAAACAUGAUAUUAUUAGAAAUAUUUUUUUUUUCGACUAUUAUUGUUUAUAAUUUGUUGAAUUCUAAUUUAUUAAGAAUUACUUGCACUUGUUUAUGUAAUUAAUAUUUGAUUAUCAUCAUAUGAUCGACAUAUCAUAUCAAUAUGAUAGAUACGUCAACAUUAUCAAGCUGAUACGUCAUCCAUCGUCAUCUGAUCAACACCUUAACUCAUUCAGUCUCAUGUAUGUGUUACAUUGAAGACUAACUCGACCCUACAUAAUCAACUCAUAUUUAUCGAGUUUGAUAUUAUGCCAUUAUAUUAUUAUCCCUUUUGAUAUUUAAUUAUGGCCUUCAAUGUAAUGACCUUAAGUUAUGAAAGGCCCCUCAAGUUUUUUUGUUUGGAUAUUUGAGCCAUUUCAGUAUACAUUUGAUCCAAUCCUCAAAACAAAUAACUAACAUAAGUAUCAAAACAAUUUGUCAGGUAUACCCUCUUUUGUAAGGUUUCAAAUCAAACCUUCUUUUGUAUGACACGAUUUCAAGAUAAACACAAAGAAUGAUCACAUUUCGUCUAAAAUUGACAUCGACUUCCGAUAAAUAAAAUUUGAUUUAAUAAUAUUUUUUAUUUUAAAAAUAAUAAUAAAACGAUGAUAUAUAUAUAUAUAAUCCUGAUAAAUAUUUUUUUUUACUUCGUGUAAGCAGAAAUAAUUUUUAGUAUUUUUUUUAAUUUUAAAGUGGUAUACUAUAUCAGACUGACUUGCUAAAUAUUCAAAAUCUUAUUUUUAUCCUAACUUAAUCGAUAAAGAUGUUUAUUAUAAAGUUCAUUUACUAUUUAUCUUUUAAAAAAAUAUCAUUUAAAAAAAAUUAAUUAAGCCUUAUAAGUAUAUAUCAUUUAGUUAAAUCUAUAUAAAUAAAAUACACCACUCGUUAAGAUCAUUAGGAUAUUAAUUAGUUUACAUAUCUUUAAGUAUCUAUUUGGAUGCUUUCAUCUCCUUUUGUUAAGGAGGAAAUUAGGGAAACAAUUCCGAGAAAAAGAUAACUUUGAUAGGUGGAUUGGCCGACUUGUUAAAAACAUUAAGAUCAUAUAACUUUUGAUUGACAGAAGAAAGAUUUAGCAAAAAAGACAAACACCAAAUCCAUCGUGUACUGAUCACACUCCAAACACAUACACCCUUUUCUCCUGGAUUAUUAAGCCAUCAUAAUGUACCAUAAAACACGCUCUUCUUUUUACCAUGCAAACAACUACUGUUCUUCACCUAUCUCUAUACUGUUCGUCGCCUUUAGACUCGGAACGAAUCACCGAAUCUGUAUAUAGACUGGCAGCCUACGAGUAGAACGUGUAUUUCUUUGCGUCUAUGAUGAUCUGCCGUAGUCCGCCAAUGGGAGACAAGAUCAUCAACAGGACCCCGAAUAUAAUGCAGAUCUGAGAAAACAUGAAAAAAGCAGAAAAGAUCAGCUACAGAUCUUAGAUGAGCAUGCAACGGAACACCAUGGAGUUGUUCGACUUACCCAGUUAGUGAUCCAAGACAAGCUGAAUCUUCUGGGCUUGUAAAUGGCAAGCCACAUGAUGCAAGGAAGCUGCAGAAGAUAAAUCGAAAGCAUCAACAAUUUGUUCGGAUUACAGAGCCUCUUCUGGUUUAUGAGAUGAGAAAUGGGAUGGGAGCUCACGAAGUAUGUGGUUGGCGCAAAUGCAAAUCCACCAAAGAACCCGAGCAGUCCGCCGAAGAAUGGGAAGGUCAUACCGAUGAACAUUGUGAAGGCUGCAUGUAUGUGAACUGGUGAGUUCAUCUCGAACAGAGAAGAAUGAGAGCUGAAGGAAAGGGGCAUUACCAACAUAAACACUGCGUGCAAUCAGGCGAAGAGUGAGACCGGGCGGGAAAUGAAGCUUCUUGACGAGCACCGUUUCGAUCAUGUCGAAGACAGGCAUGGCAUAGAUCUGCAUGAUUCGAGAAAGGUCAAAGAACUGCUGUACUGAAGCAGAAAGAUCAACUGCAUUGAUUACCUGGUAGCUGCCGAUGACAUGGACGACGACCAUCAUGUUGGCCAUUGCGAUCAGCCAUCGAGGCUUCUCCAGUGUUAUGAGGAUGUUGUCGUCGACGACGUUGCCGAAUGCCCAGUAGCCAACGAGCGCGACGGGGAAGUAACAGAGCGCUACGACGAUGUAGGCGACGAUGACGCCCCUCCACAUGGGUUUCUUGGAAGGCUUCUCGGGAGUGGAAGGAAUGGUGGCUUGGAUCUCCAAGACCACGUUGUGGCCAGCGUAGGCGAAGGCGACGUCUCCCAGUGCGCUGAAGAAGUUGAAGACGGUGCCUGAUGUGCUUGCGGACUUGUAUCCGUAUUCCACGUUCUCCUGCUUCCCCUUGUCGACGGAUGCUCCCCAGGCAAUGGUGGAGUAGCUGCGGAGGGGAGGAUCGAUGUUGAUUACUGUGACCUGGGGGAGAAAGAAAGAGAGGAGAAUGUGGUAGGUACCUGAGAGACAUGACUGCAGCGGCCAAGGAGACGCCGGAGAUGGAGUUGAAGUUGGGCAGCUGGGAUAGGACGAAGUGGACGGAGCCGAAGAUCAUGAUGAAGUAAGUGAGCUUGAUGGACUUGCAGUCGGUACAGACGACGUCGUGGAACUUCUUGAGGGACUUGCCGCCGGUGACCAUGUAGACGAUGUUGACGCCCACCUCCACGACCAGUUGCUGCGGGACGACGAUCCAGAGGCCGAGCUUGUCGCCGAAGGCGUGCUGCCCCAGCUCGUGGUACCGAUCGAACCGCUUCCCCGGCACCAUCUCGUGCAUCUCCACCAUCUGCCACAGAGUAUACAGG